CAAACCACAGAAGGAAGCAAACUGAAGCACUGAGUGUCAGCUUCUUCCCAUUCCAUUGUUGUGUAAGCUCCCUGAUGAUCUUCUCCAGCCAGGGUCUGAGAGACUGCAGAUGACGAUGUUUUCUAAGUCCAAGAUCUCUGGCCAUGCAAGAGUGUUUGGUCUUUGCCUCAGUGUGUGGAAAGAAAUUCUGGACUCUGAAUCAAUCAGUCAUUACUGUCCUGUGUCAUCCUCAUCUUUGAGGGCUCAGGGACCAGUCCGGCAAGAUACCGAGAUGCCAUCAAUGUCAAUGAGAGUAUGUUGUUACCAUCUGCUGCUGAGCUAAGGGCUCGAGAAGCCCCGUUCAGAAAUGGGACCAGGACUGAUCGGGAAAGGGAGCUGGCUGGAAAGAAUUGAGCCAGGCCAAGUCCUGAAACAACAGCUGCAUCUCAUGGUUGCUAACAGAGCUAACUGGAUAC